GACGAACGCUGGCGGCGCGCUUAACACAUGCAAGUCGAACGGAAAGGCCUGCUUUCCCUUGUGGAUUGCGGGUACUCGAGUGGCGAACGGGUGAGUAACACGUGAGUGAUCUGCCCCCAACUUGGGUAUAAGCCUGGGAAACUGGGUCUAAUUCCCGAUAGGACUGCAGGGUGGUUCCUGUGGUGGAAAACGAUUUUCUAGUGGUUGGGGAUGAGCUCGCGGCCUAUCAGCUUGUUGGUGGGGUAAUGGCCUACCAAGGCGGCGACGGGUAGCCGGCCUGAGAGGGUGGACGGCCACAUUGGGACUGAGAUACGGCCCCGACGCCUACGGGAGGCAGCAGUGGGGAAUAUUGCACAAUGGGCGGAAGCCUGAUGCAGCGACGCCGCGUGGGGGAUGACGGCCUUCGGGUUGUAAACUCCUUUCGACCGCGAGGAAGCCACCUGGUUGGAAGGGUGGUGACGGUAGUGGUAGAAGAAGCACCGGCUAACUACGUG
rnacentral:rRNA from 1 species